AGUAGAAGAACAAAAGUUUAGUGGAAAGAGAGAUAGUUAAGUGUGAGGAAGAGGGGAGAAACAAGUGAGGGAGAGAAAGAGUGAAAGAAUGAAGAGAGACGGAGUGCUAUGUGUGAGGAAAAAUGUAGAGAAAGAAAGAAAAAGUGGAGAUGGAGCCGAAGGAAGGAAGGAAGACAUGAGGGAAAAUAUAAAUUAGUAAGAGAAAACAAGCAACUCGCUUGAGACAUUCCAGAUAGUAGACGGAAGUAUGUGUCGUGUACGCAGGAUCACAAAAAGUUAGUUAGAGACACGUCAAAUAGUCGGAUCAUGGUCACAAUAUAGGUCACCAUGUGCAUAAGGAGUCUUUAAAUUAUUUUCAUGACUCUGAUAAUGUAGUUUUGAAAGAACUAUUAAAAAUAAAUUGAUUUGUCCAUU